rnacentral:ribozyme from 1 species
UUUUCCUUUUUCUUUUCCUUCUUCUUCUUCUUCUUCUUCUCUUUUUUCUAUUCUCUCUUUAGGGUGUUUCUCACGAAGAC